UUCUGGUGGGCUAUACUAAUCGGGUAGGAUCCGAGGCUCUGUAUAAGGUUACACAGGCUCUCCUACCCAUCUCCUAUUUCGUCACGUCUCCUUCGUGCAGCGAAUUAAGCUCGCCAGGCUCCGGUGGGCUGAUCAUGUCAUGAGAAUGUCACCGGACGACCCAGUCCGUAAAGUCCUUUUAGGCCGUCCACAUGGACAGAGGAGGCCCAAACUGAGAUGG
rnacentral:ribozyme from 1 species